UAUAAAACAAAACCUUCUUGUAAUACAAAAAAACCUUGCUUUACAUUUGAUGGGAUUUUUAUGUGAAUAUUAAGGCAACGUUACGUUUUCAGAGACUGUUUCCACAGCUGAUGUUCGCCCUGAUGUGCACCAGAGCUAGCUAAUAAAAACAGGCUACUGUUGCACCAGUAAAGCGGGAGCUAUGUAACAGAUGUUCCAAUAGCCUACUGCUGACAGGUCCUACAUCUUCAAAGAUGUGCAACACAAUGAGGGCUCCCAGGGUGACCGAGUCCUUCCCCUCAGAGGAGUACGUAAGCGAGGAUCUCUUUGCUGUGGCGUAGGAGGCGUAAGAGGGAGCAGAGGAAGCGGAGGUGGAGGGUAAACGGGGCAGUGUGGAAGUGGAGGAAGGGAGGGGUUGAGUCUGUCUGUCAGGGCAGUAAGCAGGAGAGGAAGACCUUCCUUUGCUCUGCAGGCUGCUGCUGCUGCUGCUCUGCAGAGGAGAGCUGGACGUUUUGGGCCCUCGAGUCAGAGACGAUGUGGACGAGCUGGAGAGUGGCGACGUCCUCAUCCCAUAACCAAGGAUGCCGGUGCUCAUGAGGAACUCCCUGGAGCCGUAUGCAGGAGGAGUUGGUCCACGGGAGCCCACAGGCCGGUGGAUGUUGUCAGGUGGUAAGCUCCUCCUGCUGGGGAUGUCGUAGAUUCCAACAUCUGGGCCAUACAGAGCCUGUGAUCUGGCAUGGAGACGAAGCAUCCUGUCCCUCUCCUCCAUUUCCCGUCUCUCGUGAAGGGAUGCCAUGAUACUCUUUGAGAAGUUGUCAUAGCGAGCAGCGGCAGACUUUGGAGGCGUCAAACUCUGCAGAUCCCUGAGGCUGUCUCGAAGGCUUUGAGAUGCCAAACUUGGAGGGGGGAUAUCUCGUGUUGUAACACUUUGGGUGGCAAGGUCUCUUUGCAUCAGGCCUUGGAAAGAUGGGGAAGGGUCUCUUUGGAUGAAUCCUUG